GGAGCGGUAGUUCAGUUGGUUAGAAUACCUGCCUGUCACGCAGGGGGUCACGGGUUCGACCCCCGUCCGUUCCG
rnacentral:tRNA from 1 species